rnacentral:lncRNA from 1 species
AAAGUGAAGUGCUCACGGAGUAGAGAAAGCCCUAUCUGACUUUGAGUCGUCAUUUUAACCUGGAGAUUGUAAUAUUUGAUACCAGAUGUGCAAAUGUUUCACACUUUCUGCAAUUGGUGGUAAGGUUGUGAAACUGUAAGCCCGCCUGAGCAGAAGAGGCAAAGGGCAGAGUAGGAGAGUUUCAGGAGGUAAAGUCAGAAGCCGACGGGACUGCGGGUUGACUUUGACUGAAGGCAGCAGGAUUGCUCAAGAGCAGAAUCCGACAAACACCAAGAGAAAAAGGAAACGUUUCAGCAGAGUCAGCCACCCCCAGCAUCUUUCUUCAAAACCCAACAAAGAAAUCCCCUCUGCUGGAACUGUUUGCUUUCAAAAGCGAAAAAGGAACUGAGGCUGCUAUCUCGGAGUUCUUUACAUCGAGGAAGUCACAUGGGUGCAUGGCUGAACAAUGUUUGCUGGGGGGUUGUUGAAGAUGUAAAUUCUUUGCCCCUCGGAAG